GACAGAGGAUGCAAGCGUUAUCCAAAAUGAUUGGGCGUAAAGCGUCUGUAGCUGGCCUUUUAAGUCCGCCGUCAAAUCCUACGGCUCAACCCUGGAUAGGCGGUGGAAACUACCAAGCUGGAGUAUGGUAGGGGCAGAGGGAAUUUCCGGUGGAGCGGUGAAAUGCGUAGAGAUCGGAAAGAACACCAACGGCGAAAGCACUCUGCUGGGCCGACACUGACACUGAGAGACGAAAGCUAGGGGAGCGAAUGGG
rnacentral:rRNA from 1 species